UACGUAGGGUCCAAGCGUUAAUCGGAAUUACUGGGCGUAAAGCGUGCGCAGGCGGCUUCGCAAGUCAGACGUGAAAUCCCCGGGCUUAACCUGGGAAUGGCGUUUGAAACUACGGAGCUGGAGUGUGGCAGAGGGAGGUAGAAUUCCACGUGUAGCGGUGAAAUGCGUAGAUGUGUGGAGGAAUACCGAUGGCGAAGGCAGCCUCCUGGGCCAACACUGACGCUCAUGCACGAAAGCGUGGGGAGCAAACAGG
rnacentral:rRNA from 1 species